GAUGAACGCUGGCGGCGUGCCUAAUGCAUGCAAGUCGAGCGAAUGGAUUAAGAGCUUGCUCUUAUGAAGUUAGCGGCGGACGGGUGAGUAACACGUGGGUAACCUGCCCAUAAGACUGGGAUAACUCCGGGAAACCGGGGCUAAUACCGGAUAACAUUUUGAACCGCAUGGUUCGAAAUUGAAAGGCGGCUUCGGCUGUCACUUAUGGAUGGACCCGCGUCGCAUUAGCUAGUUGGUGAGGUAACGGCUCACCAAGGCAACGAUGCGUAGCCGACCUGAGAGGGUGAUCGGCCACACUGGGACUGCGACACGGCCCAGACUCCUACGGGAGGCAGCAGUAGGGAAUCUUCCGCAAUGGACGAAAGUCUGACGGAGCAACGCCGCGUGAGUGAUGAAGGCUUUCAGGUCGUAAAACUCUGUUGUUAGGGAAGAACAAGUGCUAGUUGAAUAAGCUGGCACCUUGACGGUACCUAACCAGAAAGCCACGGCUAACUACGUGCCAGCAGCCGCAGUAA
rnacentral:rRNA from 1 species